AGUGAACGCUGGCGGUAGGCCUAACACAUGCAAGUCGAACGGGAGCACAGUAAGAGCUUGCUCGUACGGGUGGCGAGUGGCGGACGGGUGAGGAAGACAUCGGAAUCUACGUUGGCGUGGGGGAUAACGAAGGGAAAGGUACGGGAAUAACGCAUAGGACCUACGGGUGAAAGGAGGGGAUCUUGGGACCUUGGGCGAUUGAAUGAGACGAUGCCUCGUUAGCUAGUUGGAGGGGGAACGGCCGACCAAGGAGACGAGCCGGAGCUGGUCUGAGAGGAUGAUCAGUCACACUUGCACUGAGACACGCUCCAAACUCCUACGGGAGGCACCAGUGGGGAAUAUUCGACAAUGGGCGGAAGCCUGAUCCAGCCAUACCGCGUGAGUGAAGAAGGCCUUCGGGUUGUAAAGCCCGUUUGUUGGCAAAGAAAAGCAGCCGGUUAACACCCCGCUGUUCUGACGGUACCCAAAGAAUAAGCCCCGGCUAACUUCGUG
rnacentral:rRNA from 1 species